AUUGAACGCUGGCGGAAUGCUUUACACAUGCAAGUCGAACGGCAGAGGGGGCAACCCCUCGAGAGUGGCGAACGGGUGAGUAAUAUAUCGGAACGUGCCCAGUCGUGGGGGAUAACGUAGCGAAAGUUACGCUUAUACCGCAUACGAUCUAAGGAUGCAAGCGGGGGAUCGCAAGACCUCGCGCGAUUGGAGCGGCCGAUAUCAGAUUAGGUAGUUGGUGGGGUAAAGGCACACCAAGCCAACGAUCUGUAGCUGGUCUGAGAGGACGACCAGCCACACUGGAACGGAGACACGGUCCAGACUCCGACGGGAGGCAGCAGUGGGGAAUUUUGGACAAUGGACGCAAGUCUGAUCCGGCCUUUCCGCGUGCAGGAUGAAGGCCCUCGGGUUGUAAACUGCUUUUGUACGGAACGAAAAGGUCUCUCUUAAUACGGGGGACUCAUGACGGUACCGUAAGAAUAAGCACCGGCUAACUACGUGCCAGCCGCCGCCGUAA
rnacentral:rRNA from 1 species